CUUAAAACAUAAUAAGGCUUCAAUUAAGUCGAGCCAAGGAUGGAACGAUACAGAGAAGAUUAGCAUGGGCCCUGCACAAGCCCAAAUUGAGAAAUGGUCCAAAUUUUU